AAGGAUUUAGCUUAAUGAAAGCGUUUGAUUUGCGUUCAUUUGAUGUAGGAUAAUAAACUUGCAAUCCUUU
rnacentral:tRNA from 1 species